AGCGUACACGGUGGAUGCCCUGGCAGUCAGAGGCGAUGAAGGACGUGCUAAUCUGCGAUAAGCGUCGGUAAGGUGAUAUGAACCGUUAUAACCGGCGAUUUCCGAAUGGGGAAACCCAGUGUGUUUCGACACACUAUCAUUAACUGAAUCCAUAGGUUAAUGAGGCGAACCGGGGGAACUGAAACAUCUAAGUACCCCGAGGAAAAGAAAUCAACCGAGAUUCCCCCAGUAGCGGCGAGCGAACGGGGAGCAGCCCAGAGCCUGAAUCAGUGUGUGUGUUAGUGGAAGCGUCUGGAAAGGCGCGCGAUACAGGGUGACAGCCCCGUACACAAAAAUGCACAUGCUGUGAGCUCGAUGAGUAGGGCGGGACACGUGGUAUCCUGUCUGAAUAUGGGGGGACCAUCCUCCAAGGCUAAAUACUCCUGACUGACCGAUAGUGAACCAGUACCGUGAGGGAAAGGCGAAAAGAACCCCGGCGAGGGGAGUGAAAAAGAACCUGAAACCGUGUACGUACAAGCAGUGGGAGCACGCUUAGGCGUGUGACUGCGUACCUUUUGUAUAAUGGGUCAGCGACUUAUAUUCUGUAGCAAGGUUAACCGAAUAGGGGAGCCGAAGGGAAACCGAGUCUUAACUGGGCGUUAAGUUGCAGGGUAUAGACCCGAAACCCGGUGAUCUAGCCAUGGGCAGGUUGAAGGUUGGGUAACACUAACUGGAGGACCGAACCGACUAAUGUUGAAAAAUUAGCGGAUGACUUGUGGCUGGGGGUGAAAGGCCAAUCAAACCGGGAGAUAGCUGGUUCUCCCCGAAAGCUAUUUAGGUAGCGCCUCGUGAAUUCAUCUCCGGGGGUAGAGCACUGUUUCGGCAAGGGGGUCAUCCCGACUUACCAACCCGAUGCAAACUGCGAAUACCGGAGAAUGUUAUCACGGGAGACACACGGCGGGUGCUAACGUCCGUCGUGAAGAGGGAAACAACCCAGACCGCCAGCUAAGGUCCCAAAGUCAUGGUUAAGUGGGAAACGAUGUGGGAAGGCCCAGACAGCCAGGAUGUUGGCUUAGAAGCAGCCAUCAUUUAAAGAAAGCGUAAUAGCUCACUGGUCGAGUCGGCCUGCGCGGAAGAUGUAACGGGGCUAAACCAUGCACCGAAGCUGCGGCAGCGACGCUGAUGCGUUGUUGGGUAGGGGAGCGUUCUGUAAGCCUGCGAAGGUGUGCUGUGAGGCAUGCUGGAGGUAUCAGAAGUGCGAAUGCUGACAUAAGUAACGAUAAAGCGGGUGAAAAGCCCGCUCGCCGGAAGACCAAGGGUUCCUGUCCAACGUUAAUCGGGGCAGGGUGAGUCGACCCCUAAGGCGAGGCCGAAAGGCGUAGUCGAUGGGAAACAGGUUAAUAUUCCUGUACUUGGUGUUACUGCGAAGGGGGGACGGAGAAGGCUAUGUUGGCCGGGCGACGGUUGUCCCGGUUUAAGCGUGUAGGCUGGUUUUCCAGGCAAAUCCGGAAAAUCAAGGCUGAGGCGUGAUGACGAGGCACUACGGUGCUGAAGCAACAAAUGCCCUGCUUCCAGGAAAAGCCUCUAAGCAUCAGGUAACAUCAAAUCGUACCCCAAACCGACACAGGUGGUCAGGUAGAGAAUACCAAGGCGCUUGAGAGAACUCGGGUGAAGGAACUAGGCAAAAUGGUGCCGUAACUUCGGGAGAAGGCACGCUGAUAUGUAGGUGAGGUCCCUCGCGGAUGGAGCUGAAAUCAGUCGAAGAUACCAGCUGGCUGCAACUGUUUAUUAAAAACACAGCACUGUGCAAACACGAAAGUGGACGUAUACGGUGUGACGCCUGCCCGGUGCCGGAAGGUUAAUUGAUGGGGUUAGCGCAAGCGAAGCUCUUGAUCGAAGCCCCGGUAAACGGCGGCCGUAACUAUAACGGUCCUAAGGUAGCGAAAUUCCUUGUCGGGUAAGUUCCGACCUGCACGAAUGGCGUAAUGAUGGCCAGGCUGUCUCCACCCGAGACUCAGUGAAAUUGAACUCGCUGUGAAGAUGCAGUGUACCCGCGGCAAGACGGAAAGACCCCGUGAACCUUUACUAUAGCUUGACACUGAACAUUGAGCCUUGAUGUGUAGGAUAGGUGGGAGGCUUUGAAGUGUGGACGCCAGUCUGCAUGGAGCCGACCUUGAAAUACCACCCUUUAAUGUUUGAUGUUCUAACGUUGACCCGUAAUCCGGGUUGCGGACAGUGUCUGGUGGGUAGUUUGACUGGGGCGGUCUCCUCCUAAAGAGUAACGGAGGAGCACGAAGGUUGGCUAAUCCUGGUCGGACAUCAGGAGGUUAGUGCAAUGGCAUAAGCCAGCUUGACUGCGAGCGUGACGGCGCGAGCAGGUGCGAAAGCAGGUCAUAGUGAUCCGGUGGUUCUGAAUGGAAGGGCCAUCGCUCAACGGAUAAAAGGUACUCCGGGGAUAACAGGCUGAUACCGCCCAAGAGUUCAUAUCGACGGCGGUGUUUGGCACCUCGAUGUCGGCUCAUCACAUCCUGGGGCUGAAGUAGGUCCCAAGGGUAUGGCUGUUCGCCAUUUAAAGUGGUACGCGAGCUGGGUUUAGAACGUCGUGAGACAGUUCGGUCCCUAUCUGCCGUGGGCGCUGGAGAACUGAGGGGGGCUGCUCCUAGUACGAGAGGACCGGAGUGGACGCAUCACUGGUGUUCGGGUUGUCAUGCCAAUGGCACUGCCCGGUAGCUAAAUGCGGAAGAGAUAAGUGCUGAAAGCAUCUAAGCACGAAACUUGCCCCGAGAUGAGUUCUCCCUGACUCCUUGA
rnacentral:rRNA from 1 species